GACGUAGGGCGCGAGCGUUGUCCGGAUUUAUUGGGCGUAAAGAGCUCGUAGGCGGCUUGUCGCGUCGACUGUGAAAACCCGCGGCUCAACCGCGGGCCUGCAGCCGAUACGGGCAGGCUAGAGUUCGGUAGGGGAGACUGGAAUUCCUGGUGUAGCGGUGAAAUGCGCAGAUAUCAGGAGGAACACCAAUGGCGAAAGCAGGUACCUGGACUAUUACUGACACUCAGCUGCGAAAGCUAGGGGAGCAAACAGG
rnacentral:rRNA from 1 species